GGUUGCCAUAUAUGUUAUGUUUGCGCAUAUCUCUCCUAUGUGCAAAUCUUUAUGGCAGUCAUUUUACUUAGGCCCUCAAUUUACAAAUACAAAUCAAAAGGUGUUUGUGGAUAGUGAAUUGCAUUUGUGGAUAGCGAUUUAUUUUUGUGGAUAGCGAUUUAUUUUUGUGGAUUGGUGAUUUUAUAUUUAUGAAUACAUUUGGCAUGAUAUUGAUCCCAUACAGAAGCUCCACAAUAGUUUGGAGCUAAUAUUCUAUAAGCGGUGCAGGAGCUCAAGUAGAAGAACAUUUGAGGUGCUGGAACUUGGCUCCGGUGAGCUACUGCACAAGUCGAGCACUGGUCGCAACUAGGGUUGCAAAAUUCAGGGACAAUCUUGGUUGGAGGUUCCGGAUUUCCUGCUUAUUCCCUCUUGAUUCAAGGAAUCCUCCAACCGGGAUUCCGGAAAAACCGGGGAAAUUUGCAACCCUAUUCGUAACACGGAACAAAGUAAAGUUCAGCAUAUCACAGUGCGGAAAGCAGCUGAUGGCCGUGUUUUAUCCAAGUUCCAGAAGUACCAAUUGUAUCAUUGCCCCUUCUGCCAGCCCUCCAUUUUCAAACCCCGAGACUAUGCCAGUGUGUCGGCACACAUUGAGUCUCACAGAUUGAAGGCUGUGCUUCAUAGAGAGUUCACAAUAUUCAUAUGCCAUUUGCAGUGCAGAGCAGCAAAGCAUUUUCACUGCCCAUACUGCCCCAAGACCUAUGUAAAUAGGAGUGAUUUUACCAAACACAUUCCACAAUGUGAGUCAGUAUGUGGGCGAGACCCAGGUGCAACUGCGAGAGGCCCAGAUGUGACCAGUGCAGAUGUGACCAGUGCAGAUGUAACCAGUGCAGAUGUAACCAGUGCAAAUGCGAGAGGCCCAGAUGUGACCAGUGCAGAUGUAACCAGUGCAGAUGUAACCAGUGCAAGUGCAAGAGGCCCAGGUUCAGCGUGUCCAGCUAUGAGACCUGUAAGCAAGAGGAAAAUCAAAUGUCAUAACUGCAGUUUAUGGCUUAACAAAAAUAGCCUGAAGAAACAUCAAUUAAGGAAGCAUACAUCUGCUGAGAAGUACAGUACAGCUCACUCCAAUCUCAAAAGACAGUGCUUUGACCAGGACAAUUGGGUGUUUGCAGAGGAUCAACACAUUUUCCCUGUCUCUCCUUCUCCUGGUGAGCAGCAAUACAUAAUAUAUACACUGAGUGUACCACCAUCAUGAACACCUUCCUAAUAUUGAGUUGUACACU